rnacentral:snRNA from 1 species
GUGCUCACCUCUGCAGCACAUAUACUAAAACUGGAAUGAUACAGAGAGGAUUAGUAUGACUCCUUGCGAGGAUGACAUGCAAAUUCAUGAAGCAGUCCAUAUCUUU